UGGUAUUGAUUGGUGCUUGCAUCAUGAUUUACAUUUGAGUGAGUGGCGAACUGGUGAGUAACACGUGGGAAACCUGCCCAGAAGCGGGGGAUAACACCUGGAAACAGAUGCUAAUACCGCAUAACAACUUGGACCGCAUGGUCCGAGUUUGAAAGAUGGCUUCGGCUAUCACUUUUGGAUGGUCCCGCGGCGUAUUAGCUAGAUGGUGGGGUAACGGCUCACCAUGGCAAUGAUACGUAGCCGACCUGAGAGGGUAAUCGGCCACAUUGGGACUGAGACACGGCCCAAACUCCUACGGGAGGCAGCAGUAGGGAAUCUUCCACAAUGGACGAAAGUCUGAUGGAGCAACGCCGCGUGAGUGAAGAAGGGUUUCGGCUCGUAAAACUCUGUUGUUAAAGAAGAACAUAUCUGAGAGUAACUGUUCAGGUAUUGACGGUAUUUAACCAGAAAGCCACGGCUAACUACGUGCCAGCAGCCGCGGUAAUACGUAGGUGGCAAGCGUUGUCCGGAUUUAUUGGGCGUAAAGCGAGCGCAGGCGGUUUUUUAAGUCUGAUGUGAAAGCCUUCGGCUCAACCGAAGAAGUGCAUCGGAAACUGGGAAACUUGAGUGCAGAAGAGGACAGUGGAACUCCAUGUGUAGCGGUGAAAUGCGUAGAUAUAUGGAAGAACACCAGUGGCGAAGGCGGCUGUCUGGUCUGUAACUGACGCUGAGGCUCGAAAGUAUGGGUAGCAAACAGGAUUAGAUACCCUGGUAGUCCAUACCGUAAACGAUGAAUGCUAAGUGUUGGAGGGUUUCCGCCCUUCAGUGCUGCAGCUAACGCAUUAAGCAUUCCGCCUGGGGAGUACGGCCGCAAGGCUGAAACUCAAAGGAAUUGACGGGGGCCCGCACAAGCGGUGGAGCAUGUGGUUUAAUUCGAAGCUACGCGAAGAACCUUACCAGGUCUUGACAUACUAUGCAAAUCUAAGAGAUUAGACGUUCCCUUCGGGGACAUGGAUACAGGUGGUGCAUGGUUGUCGUCAGCUCGUGUCGUGAGAUGUUGGGUUAAGUCCCGCAACGAGCGCAACCCUUAUUAUCAGUUGCCAGCAUUAAGUUGGGCACUCUGGUGAGACUGCCGGUGACAAACCGGAGGAAGGUGGGGAUGACGUCAAAUCAUCAUGCCCCUUAUGACCUGGGCUACACACGUGCUACAAUGGAUGGUACAACGAGUUGCGAACUCGCGAGAGUAAGCUAAUCUCUUAAAGCCAUUCUCAGUUCGGAUUGUAGGCUGCAACUCGCCUACAUGAAGUCGGAAUCGCUAGUAAUCGCGGAUCAGCAUGCCGCGGUGAAUACGUUCCCGGGCCUUGUACACACCGCCCGUCACACCAUGAGAGUUUGUAACACCCAAAGUCGGUG
rnacentral:rRNA from 2 species